rnacentral:lncRNA from 1 species
CCGCGACAAAGGUCUUUAUUCGCAGCCCCGGCGGCGGAGGGCCCCGGGCGGCCGCGCUGCGGGCGCUGGGAGGACGCGGCCCCGGCCCGGCGCGCCGUGGCGAGGAACGACACGCGGUCAGCACAGAGGAACUGGGAGAGAUCUUCGGUCUGGUGGUGCCGGUACCAGUCCUCGAUCACGUCUUCGUACUCCUCCACCAGCACGUCGCACUGCUUCUUGAGAUCCGCCACCUCGGCAGAGGUCUCGUUCCACAGCUCGUAGGGAAUGUCCAUCACCACCUUGACGCCUUUGUGCACCAGGUUGUGCAGGGUCUCAAACGUCUCCGACAUACCCUUUGCAAAUCUGUUGCUGCCGCUCCUUUCCUUGUGCAGGUUGUAGUCCAACAGCCUCUUGCAAAUGUUCUCUGUCACCUCAAUGAGCCGGAUGUCCGACUGUGUGUACUUGACGGCAGCCCCCUUCCCAUCCAAGAAGCCAUACUUGGUGUCGAUCACCUCCUUGGUCUUGCCGGUCUCUUCAAAGGCGGAUUUCAGCUCCAGUGCCACAUAUUUGCACACCUCGCACUUGCUGGGCAGCCGCACCCAGUCCGCGUCGUCGCCGCCCGCCACCGCCACCAGCAGCAGCAGCAGCAGCAGCGCGGCGGGGCCCUCCGCCGCCAUGGCUCCGCUUCCGGGCCUGCGCUCCGCCCCCGUCGCCACGGCAACGCGCCGCC